rnacentral:rRNA from 1 species
GUGGGGAAUUUUGGACAAUGGGGGCAACCCUGAUCCAGCCAUGCCGCGUGUGUGAAGAAGGCCUUCGGGUUGUAAAGCACUUUCGGACGGAACGAAAUCGCGCGUGUUAAUAACCCGCGUGGAUGACGGUACCGUAAGAAGAAGCACCGGCUAACUACGUGCCAGCAGCCGCGGUAAUACGUAGGGUGCGAGCGUUAAUCGGAAUUACUGGGCGUAAAGUGUGCGCAGGCGGCUGAGCAAGUCGAGUGUGAAAGCCCCGGGCUUAACUUGGGAAUUGCGCUCGAAACUACUUGGCUGGAGUGUGGCAGAGGAAGGUGGAAUUCCACGUGUAGCGGUGAAAUGCGUAGAGAUGUGGAGGAACACCAAUGGCGAAGGCAGCCUUCUGGGCCAACACUGACGCUCAUGCACGAAAGCGUGGGGAGCAAACAGGAUUAGAAACCCGGGUAGUCC